GCAGUGCUGAUGGCCCUACUCUGCUGUGUGCAAUGGCUGCUGCUGUCAUGGAGGACCAGGGUUCAGGAGAGCGUUGUGUCACAUCAGCUAAAGCUUUUCUGUCAGCUGUCUGUACCCAGCAAGCCCAGUUUGGAUGAGGCUGAUAAAAGAGCUCUUGUAAUACUACUACUGAUUGCCAGUCAUCUUUGAAACACUGCUCAGGAUCCAGAUGUCUGAUGUCAUGGCAAGGCUAAUCCUGUCCGUUUAUCACUAUUUCCAAGGAAAAAAUAUGACCCUCUUAAUAGAGAAUUAAAUAAACAUAGCUUAUCUCAAGACAUACAGUCAUUUGGGAGUCAGUUUUUGCUGAUUGGCCUAUGCCUAAGCCCGGGCUUAAGUGGUAAUGAUCAAAAUACUGGGCUGAUGCAGUUAAUACUUGUCACUGUGACAUAUAUUUGACCUGGGGCUUGAUGAAUGCAGAAGACAUAAAACUGAUGUGAAACACUGAUGUAAUUAGAAACUACCUAACUGAUGUGAAACACUGAUUUUAAUUAGAUUAAAACUAAUUGGCUGAUUAUCUUAAACUGAGAAUCCAUAACAUUAGCGAGGAAGUAAAAAUUAUUUCUCGAGAUACUGAGUCUCAUUCUUUGGAAAAGAGAAGACAGAGCUGUGGGGCUUAUCUAGCCACUGUCAGGGUGUCUGGUGUGGGAGAAACCUGUGGGUCUGCCUGCUGCCCAGGGACACAUCUCCAGUGGGGACAGCAAGGUGCAAUGGGGACAGCAAGGUGCCAGUGCCACCCUGCAAGGAGCAUCCUCUGAGCACUGCAGCCUCACUGACUGACUCUCGUGGGAGAUGAAUUCAAACUGCCUGGUUAGUUAAAGGUUGUGGAGAGCUCCUUUUCUUAGACUGAAAGAAGUUGCAUGGUUUUGCUCAUCAAAGUGAAGAGUAACUGCAGAUAUUACUGCUGGCUUGAAGUAUACCAGAGAACAGAUUCAGGGAAGGAUGAGGUUGAUACUAAAAGACAGUUUUACCACAGGGAUGACUGCAUGUAAUCAAAGAGUGUAAUUUAUGUUGAGAGUUAAGUGUAAGUGUGGGGUUCUGAAGGUGUCUCCCAGCAGCAGGCUCACUGUAGAUGCUGUUUUCAGAGGGAGUUCAGAAUAUCUGUGAUACUGUGACUUGUGAUAGCAGUGGAGAAGAACCUGAUGAUUCUUGAUGUUCUUUUCCCAUGCUAACCUCCUACACAGUCCAAACAAGAAUUAAUUCAGGGAAGUCCUAGGCUCUGUGUUUAUAGAUAAAGCAAGAGAGGAUGAUUAAUUGAGAGCUGAACUGGCUGGGAGACACCAUUACACGGCUGCCCUGCCCAUCAGACUGUUCAACAGCUUUACUGCAACCUUAGAAACUUCAGUUUUGUACCAAAUGGAUGCACAAAACCCUGUGCUGUUACAAAGCAAGAUGUAGUUUGCAAUAGGAUGGAGCAGCUGGAGGAAGGAAAUGCCUUUUUUUCAGCUACUUUGUCUUGGAAAUUUAUCCUCAGCCAAAGUGAUUUCUGAAACCCCCAGAAACAGCCUGACCCCCACAGGAGACAUCAGAUGUCCACUGCAAAAAAGAUGACUCCCUUUCAAGACACUGUAUUAAGAACAUGAAGAGCAGGGGAAUUGGGCAGGGUAGGAGAAGAUCCCCCAGGAGCUUCCAAAUGCACUGUGUUUGUCUGAGCAGGACUGGAGAUCAGCUCAGAUCUACACAGCAGUUUCAAGUUCCCAUGGACCUGUAGCACACUGAGGCUGAGAAGCAAAGCAGCUUUAGAACUUUCCCAUUUGUUUGAUGGAUGAACAAAUGUAACAUCCACUCUGCAUCCUGAAUGAACGCUGCUGUGCUGCUGCGCAGCUAAUGCUGCUACCCCAAUAUUUUGCCUAUCCAACCAAAUCUCACUGGAAGUUUUUGUAUAAUUAAUUAUACAAGCAAGCAGAAUGCAUUGCUUUGCUUUAUUUUUUUAAGGUUCCAGAUUUCCCAACUGUUGAGAAAGGAUGUGUUAAUCUCAUCACUAUGAAGUUCUGUUGUUUACUGUUUUCUUCGUCAAGCAGUAAUUUUAUUGACUUUGGCAGAGACGUUGGUGUUUUGCAUGAUUUCAAUGGAUUUUGUGGCACAGCCGCAUAAUAUAACCCAAGAUGUUCCAUAAUAAACAGGACUGUUACUACCAGAUGGAAAUAGUCCCGAAGCAUUACUGGACUUGCAAAAACAAAAAUGUUUUAGGACAAACAUUUUGGGUCUUAGCUUAAUCGUCUUCAAUCAAUAUCUACUUAUAAAAUAAUAUUUUUGAAAGAAAAAGGAAAUGAUAGGAAGGAUAUAAACAGUAUUUAUUUCAGAUUUUACUGUUUUAUUAUCUGUGCACAAAUUUAGUAUAUGCUGCUCUUUAAAAGACAUGCUGACACACAAGUUAGUGAGAUAACUACACGAGGUACUACGAGUUGGGGAUGAGAUAUUUCUGAUCAGAAAACAAAGACUCAGAAGAUAUUUGGGCAGCAAAGUUAAAUAUACAUGAACUAAAAGACAGUAGAUAAUGGCUGGCCUUAUUUGUAGAGCUGCUCAGAUUGUUAAUUGUGAAUUUCAGAUUAAUUCUAAAUGUAUCCUGGUAACAAUAGCUUAUGCAAUCAGUGGAUAAUGAGCCCUGACACAUGACAGGUUUACAACUCAAAUCUGGAUCGUGGACAUGAAGCCACAAAACAAAAAUUAAUCUAUUCAACAGUGCAAAUGUUUCUCAUUCUAAAUUGUGAGAAAGGAAGUCUUACGUGCUUGGGUGGAACGGCUGCACACAAAUACAGAUGGUUCAGCAGGUAUUAUGUGCUUGCCAAAUGGGACACAACAGAUACUCUCAAAGAGUGUGUUAAAAAUUUGGAAGCAAUGAGAUGCAAUGGGUAGACUGCAUAUUUUAGAUCGCAGAUUGUAAAAAUACAUACAGAUGAAAUAAAAUGCAAACAGCUGUGAGAAAUUGAGGAAAAACUGAAACGGAGAGCAUAAUAAAAUUAAGUGUUGCUAUGCAGUUAAUUCUGUUAUCGUUUGACCGGAUUAUAUUUUCUAGAAAUGAAAACACAAAACAACUCUCAAGCAGCCCGUGUAAAUAUAAAAGCCCUUCUCAAUGCCAUUAAAUGCAAAUGCUGCUCAGUAAAAAUAGUUCAUAAAUCCUUAGUGCAAACGUUCACAGCCUGCAAAAUGUAAGAGUGAGCCGUGUUGUUCAUGCACGCCAAGGCUUUGGCUUCACGUAGAACAACAAACUGCACUCUUGGCGUUGCGGUUUGGUAGCUGCAUGUUUAACAUCGUCCCUCCUGCUUCAGCACUUGACAUUUAGCAGAAACAAACUGAGAAGGUGCCCAGUGACCCCUGCCCUUCUCCUGCUGCCUUCAGAGCCAGGGAGUGCGCUCAGGCACUGCCACUGCCUGCCUGUCUGCAGCAGAAGUGCCGUUUUGGCAGAACAUUGAGCAAAUGGGGAUACCAGUUGAGAAGGAUGAUGCAGCGCUGCCCAGUUAUCCUAGGAAAACAAUACUGCAGAGAAAUCAUAAGAAAAAGACUUCCUAUAGGCUAGCUAGACCUACUUGGGCUGUAAAAAAAACCCCGGCCCUCACAGUAAGAUCUUAAAAGUCAGGUUUCAGAUUUCCUUCGGGAAUCUUUCCAGUGUAAUCUUUAAAAAGCCUUCUCAGAGCUGUAUCUGUAUCGUGGUGACUGGCAAAAAUGCAAUGUUAAAUAUGGAAGAAAACGGUUUCCAGAGAUGCUUUAACUCCAGUAAACUAAACGUGGCCGGGGACCUUCCAAACUGAGGUGGCUGUGUGACCUGGUGGGCCGUCCUCACUCCUGAACUGGGCCUGGGAAUUAUGUGGGAGCGAGUCUGUGUGCCCAAGCCAAAUUCCAGUGCUUCACCAGUUCGCUAGGAUCACUGACAGUACUCCAGGGCAGGCAGCUCUCCUUACCACUCUUCAAUCCUUCUAUCCAGAAACAUCAUUUCUGUGGGAGGGCUGGGGUAUAAUCAUGGCACAGAGCAAGAAGUUGUUUGGGUUUUAAUUCUUUCCCCCUGCUCCAGGGACUCGCCUUGCUCUCCCACCUUCUCGAGGCAUUUAGCUGCUUGUGCCGGUCCUUGUAGGACUGAUUUCUCCUUUCUGACAUUAACUCUCUUUCUUUUUGCCUUCAUUUUUUUUCUGGAGGCCCUCUCAUGCUAAUCAAACCUGGGUGGAUUUUCCAGGAGACAGGAGGCUGGCAAGAAGCCAGGCAGUGAUAAUGCUGCUGUGUCUGCUCCCAGCCCAUGGCACUGUAAGCAUCCCGCUGGACGAGCUCUUUCAUUAGCCAUUCAUCAUAUUCACAAACGAGCCCUUUGCUCUGAGAGUAUUCUGAAGAAGAAUAGAAAGCCUGGAAGGGAAGUCUGGGCUGCCUAAUUGCAUGGUGGCUCUGGGGUCUCUCACAUAUAUCCCGGUGCCACUGCCACUGAAGUAUGCCUCCCUGCAAAUAUCUGCAUGUCAGUAUAGCACAGACGGUGCUACUUUACCUGUGUACAGCACUUUGAAAGCCCUGACUGUGGCAUGGUUGCGCUGUCACCUCACUGUCACGGUCUGCUGUGCAAGUUGGUGUGUGUACCUAAAAUUUAAAACAACCAAAGCUCAGAGUCGGUUCUAGGAAUUGAUACAGCUGGUGUUUCAGCAUUGGAAAAUGCUAUGUUUUGCCUAGCUUCCUGGGGAUUUUUCCAGUAGCUGGUUUAAUCAGUCCUGCUGGUAGCCUGUCAGCCCCAGGCAGUGUUUUGGCACUGCGUGUUACUCCAACAUAAAGCUGGAGCAACCUUGGAGGGCCAUGGGCUGCAUGCUGCGAGGCUAACCCAGCUUGGCUGUUGCUUCAGAGGCAUAAAUCCACUGUUACUUCCUCUCUUCAUCCCUUCUGCACUGAGCACACAACAGAUUCUUGGCCAUACACAGUGCCUAACGAUUUUACCUUCUCCAUGCUUCCCUCUUAGCAUCCAAGACAGUUGGUUUUUUUUUUUUUUUGGAGCUCCUUCAAGCGUGUAUAUAUAGGCUUGGCACAUAACAUAUUCAGAUGUAGUUUACAUUAAGUUGUAAAUUUCAAGCACCUAAUUAAAAUGAAUGUUGUUGAGGAAAGGCAGAAUUUAGGACCUAAGCAUUUUGACAGAACUUUCCGUGGAGCUUCACUUGUGCUUUCAUUAAGCUAGUAUAAAUCAAGGAUAACUUUCUGGAAGUCAUGCACUAAAAAAUGGGUGCUGUUGUGAAUCUCCCGUGGGAAUAUAGGGCGUUAGCUGAAGAAUUUGGCUUCAGUGUAAAAGCACAGAAGUAGAAUCAACCCAAUAUGAGGAGAUGUAUGCAGAGGUGUGCAUUCCUGUGGGAAUACCAUGCUCUUCUCUGUAUGUGAUUCUCACCUAUACUAUCAAAUAUUAUGAUCUCUCUCAAUUACAUGGAUUCAUCCUUUUUUGCUGGCUUUUCUCUGGAUUAUACAUCAUGACGUGCCCAUUCACUGUAUGGUUGUACAUGUUUUGAAUAGAGCCCCUCACCAGAUACUUUGAAUCAAAGAAUAUCCUCAGCUGGAAGGGACCCACAAGGAUCACUGAGUCCAACUCCUGGCUCCACACAGCACCACCCAAAAUUCAAACCCUAUGUCUGAGAGCGGUGUCCAAACGCUCCUUGAACUCCAACAGCU